UACGGGGGGAGCAAGCGUUGUUCGGAUUUACUGGGCGUAAAGGGCGCGUAGGCGGCCACCGCAAGUCGGUUGUGAAAUCUCUGGGCUUAACCCAGAAAGGUCGACCGAUACUGCGGGGCUAGAGUGCAGAAGGGGCAACUGGAAUUCUCGGUGUAGCGGUGAAAUGCGUAGAUAUCGAGAGGAACACCUGCGGCGAAGGCGGGUUGCUGGGCUGACACUGACGCUGAAGCGCGAAAGCUAGGGGGGCGAACGGG
rnacentral:rRNA from 1 species